AUGAAGAAAGGAUCGUUCAAUUUCCUGGGUCGGAAGAAUCCAAAUCUGUUCGACACCAAUGUGGAAAUCAGGGACAUGGACAACAUGGAGCUGGUGUUUAACUCGGCUGCCAUCCCGGAGUCUGGAACCGCCAAAGUGCGCUCGCGUCCAACUGUCAAACACUUCAUGUCAUCUGAGAAUGCGCACGGCUAUGCAGUUCCAACUCCCAUGGUACCGGUUCUUCCACCCUUCAGUGAGCCCAAGAUAAACGGUACAGGAAGUACUACAAACCUCCUAAAUGGAAGGAUGCUUUCUGUUCCUGACCUACUCCAGGGGGAAAUACUUAUACCUCCUCCACCGAGCUCCGCUCCUCCACCCCCUCCAUCAUCUUUAGCCCCACCUCCUCCUUCAUUCAUCCCUCCCCCACCACAGUUCUUUGGUGAAAUGGACCCUUCUUUAGAUUGUGCAAGCCUGCAUCCCCCUCCAGUGGCACCCCCAAAACCACCAUCACUUACCAGUUCCAAUUACAGUGCAGAUUUGGACCUGGCCUCCCUCAAACCUCCUCCAAUGCCUCCUCCAAAACCUCCAUCUGAAACUUCCAGCCUCAGAGGUUCCCUCCAUAGCCUGGAUGUCCAAGAUGUCCCAGAAUGCCCCAAGUUCAACCCACCACCACCUCCUGUUAAAACAUCACCUGUUCUCGAAAAAGCUCAGAAAGCAGAACCUCAAAAACCCGUCCGAGUGAACUCCAUACCUAAUCUGGACAUCCAGUCCCAAACUCCUGUGCCACUUGUUGCUUCCAACCAAACACCAUCUAGCUUCAACCCUCAGAACACAGCAAAACUCUACAGCGUGCAGAAGAGCACACUACUUGGUGGACAGACAGAUAGGGAAAAAAAAGUCCAGUCUAUUCUGCUGCUGGAAGAUUCUGCUGGAAACACAGUUGGUGUAGUCAAUGGGAAUAGUGGGAAAAAUGCUGAAUCUUUCCAACCAGGGGUGCCACCAACCAAACCAGCCCGUCGGAACAGUUCCGCCAAUCAGUUAAAGGAUGACCAGCCAGACAUGGCACAAGCUCCAAGUGAACAAGCCAAGGUAGAGCCCAAAAUCAAUCCUGAGCCUGUAACACCACAAAACAUCCCCACUGAGGUACCAGCACCAAUCAAAGUCUCACCCAAAAUAGAGAAAAGGAUACCUGAUGUUAGGCAGGUGAUGACCCCAGUUGAGUCCCCUGGCAGGCCUCGCAAGUACAGCCCUAUCUUGAACCACCGACAUCUAAACACACGGGGCGCAGACAGCUCAGUAAAGAAAGAGACCUCCAUCUCACCUUUCGCCUUGCUGAUGGCUGCAAAGGAAAGAGAAAAGAGAACUGUUCUGUCCCAACAGAACAGCAAUUCAACAGAGCCAGUGACUUCUGUGAUCCAACCUAGUGUAGAAAAACCAAACUCCUUCACUGUAAUUCCUCGAGAGCCAACACCAGACAGUCCCAAUGCACAAUUAAAGUCGACCACAAACACGCAACCACUCACCUCGCUAUCAACUAAAGUCGAUGUUCCAGAUGUGUCCUACUCAAAGCCAGAGCUAAGCUCAACCCCUCUACAAAGCCCAAUGAACAACUCUGUUAGUGGUCUGGGUGUCCCUGUUAGAGAUGUGGAAAUUGGAGAAGGCUUGGUCUUCAUUCCACCACCUCCUGAAUUUGCCAACUCGGACUCUGAGGAGGAACCUCCAGUUCCCCCACCAAGUCACCCCGCUCCUGCUCCGCCUGUGAAAAGUGCCCCUCCACCUGCUAAAACCUUCUUACCUGCUACACCUGCUCCAAUUAUCAACUGCCCCCCACCAAGUCACCCGGCUCCUGCUACCCCUAUAAAACCUGCCCCUCUACCUUCUAAACCCUUACCUAUUCCAAUCACCAAUGGCUCUCUGCCAAGCCACCCUGGUACUGCUCCAAAAACUGCCAAACCCUCCCUUCCUCCGACACCUCCACCUAUCACCAAUGGCCCCCUCGUUUCCCCCAAACCUAAACCACCUAGCUUUCCUCCCAAGGCCCCAGGACCUCCCCCAAAUAUCCAGCCCCAGUCCAAACCACCUGUUCAAACUAAAGCCACUCAACCCCCUGCACAAGGUCCUCCAUCCGUCUCCGCUAGCCAGGCAACACUUCUCAGUAUCCUGCAGAAGAAGAUGCUAGAGAUGGACCCCAAAUUCUCAGCUGUCAGGGAGGUGGAGACCAACGGAGAUGACUGGAACUCUCCGCUGUCUGAUGACGAGGCAACAUCGCCCCUUACCACAUACAAUCCUAUGACAAACCGCAGUGCCACCCUGCCGGCGCAAACUUGUGGAGUGGACAUGAAGGAGCUGGAAAGCAAAGUGGCCAAAAAAGCUCAAAAUUUGGCCACUUCGGCUAAAUCCCAGAACAGUAACGAACCAUCAACCAAACAGCAGUUUGGAAUGACAUUUACCGUGACACCAGGAGCCAAACAACCAAUAACACCCGUUAUCAAAGAUGGUUCAUCCUGAUCCAUUAUUCCAGAGACGUGCCUUACCUGUACAUACUGUAUGUACCUACCUGACAGAUAUUUAACAUUUUGCACCCCGUCUGGAGCUUUAUUACUGCUGUUGCUAAAGUAUUACUGUAACUUUCUACCUGGACAUUUCUUCAGCCGUCAGUAUAUUCAGAUUGUGCCGAACUCUUACGACCGCAGCUUCAUCACGGACUUUCUAGAGCUGCUAAAAUCGAACAAUGGAGCAACUUUACCUGUAUAUGCUAUACACAGAAACACAUUUUAACGUCAAACCUUUUCAUUAGUUUAAUCCAGUUUCUAAUCAGCUGUUUAGUUCGUAAUUGUAACUUCUGCAUAAUAUUUUUGAAUGUCUUUAAUCAUUAAUGUACAAAAUUACUCUAUAGCUCUCGAUAUGAGAGCUUCUUUCAGUGGUGCUGGAUUUUUUCCAGGUCAAAACGUGAUGUAUUUUUAUUAAUUUAUAAAAAGUAUGCCUUAAAAUCCGAUCAAAUGGUUGCGAAGCCUCGAACACAUUACUGCUGGUUCUUCAAAAUGAAGAAAAAUGCUUUUGCUGCUUUUCAUAGUUAUUUUUUGAAUCUGAAGCAAGAAUCAAAAAAAUAAAUAAUGCAAACUUUGUAUUUGCAUGAAUAUACUGGUUAAAAGUGUACUUGAAGAAAUAAGCUAGCAUCGGCUACAAACAGGUUUUUCUGGAAAUCUCCACAGGUUUAAUUGUGUGAUAUAUGCAAUAGGUCAAUAAUUGUGCUUCAUUAAUCUGCAAACUUAUUUGUAUGACUGUUCAUGUUAAAUUGUUUUUUUGGACAUUUAACCAUUUGUUAGCCCUGAAAGUAAGAAUAUAACCGCAAUAUUGUAUAAUAAAGAUAUGCGAGAGCAUAAAUACACAGAUGACAGAAACUUUAUUGAACAGUUAAUCUUGGAAAUGUGAGAAAUGUCUGUUUGCCCAAAUAUGAAACGAAAAAAGCAUUCAUGCCCAUUUCUGUGAUGAGGCAUUAUUUGAUGGUGACGGAACAGGGGUCAACAAGGCCAAGCCGCCCGGGGCCCAACACACGCCACGCAUGAAAUCCCGGUGCCGCCGGUCCCUGAAACUAAACACGGACCAUACGACAGACUCAGGAUCAGUGCUCUCAAGAUAUAAACGCACUUCUGGAUUGACAGCACUUAGAUUACAUAUUACCAAGCCAUUAUUAUGAAUGUGUACCAGGAUAAUAUCGUUAUGGACAUAUACCAUGGAAAUAAUGUUUUUUUUAAGGACAUUAACAGCGAGUACAAUGAGAACAAUGUAAAUAUCAUGGUACAUGAAUAUGAAUUCAAAAUUCAAUGUUAAUGUUAAGGUGUUUUAAAUAAUUUUGUAACUAUGUUUAAUCAAUAUUAUUAAAUUUAUACAUACACAUAUCUCCCUGUGUGUGUGUGUGUGUGUGUAUAUAUAUAUAUAUAUAGAUAGAUAGAUAGAUAGAUAGAUUUUUUAUUAAUAAUUAAAAUAACAGAAUAAUAAAAAAAAUACAAACCAUAUAUAUUCAAAUAAUUUUACUACAUUCAAUCAAUAAUAUUUAAUAUAAUUAUUAAAUAUUUUAAAUAUACAUUUAAAUUACAUAUCCACUUUUUUAAUAACUUUUCUAUUUUUUAUAUUAUUAUUUUUUUAAUUACACAUAUAUAGACACAUUUAUA
ensembl:lncRNA